rnacentral:rRNA from 1 species
GGGGAAUAUUGCACAAUGGGCGCAAGCCUGAUGCAGCCAUGCCGCGUGUAUGAAGAAGGCCUUCGGGUUGUAAAGUACUUUCAGCGGGGAGGAAGGUGUUGUGGUUAAUAACCGCAGCAAUUGACGUUACGCGCAGAAGAAGCACCGGCUAACUCCGUGCCAGCAGCCGCGGUAAUACGGAGGGUGCAAGCGUUAAUCGGAAUUACUGGGCGUAAAGCGCACGCAGGCGGUCUGUCAAGUCGGAUGUGAAAUCCCACGGCUCAACCGUGGAACUGCCUUUGAUACUGCUUAGCUUGAAUCCGGGAGAGGGUGUCGGAAUUCCAGGUGUAGGAGUGAAAUCCGUAGAUAUCUGGAGGAACAUCAGUGGCGAAGGCGGCCACCUGGACCGGUAUUGACGCUGAGGUGCGAAAGCGUGGGGAGCAAACA